CUUGAGUGAACGUGGUUGCCCAUGUAUGAUAACAUGUAUACGGUCCUUGAAUAUAGCUUCCACGGACGGCCUAGGUAUGUUGGGAAGCUUGAUUUGGCGGCGGCGAGUUCCGGUGUGGGUAGGAUUCGACAUGCAUGGAUUGAAAUACCGGUGUUUUGGUUCGGGUCUUUUCGGUUUUGGGCUGUGAUGGUGUUUUUUUGUUGGGACAUGGGUUUCCGGGCGUAAAGGCUACAGUUUUGGAGUACUACGGCGGCGUUGCCGAAAAUGAAAUCAACUGUUCCGUAAACGUCGCAUUCGCGGUAGAAUUGACGGUUGGAGUGGACGUAUAAAGUGUCUUGGUAACCGAUGAUGUUGCACCUGUAUACGACGGCGUGGUCAGCUCCGACUCGAAGAGCCACUGCUUGGUGCUUGGCGGGUCCGGCAUAGUUCUCGAAUGUCAUGUCCCUUGCAAUAAAACCAGCCCCAGUUGCCGCUGAAAGUGAAAACAAACCAAUGAAUGAUACAGCUUUCUUUGAAAAUGAAGCAAAUUAGAACGUGAUUAGCUACGAAAUUUGUGGGAAUUUUUUUUUCGCUUUGAUAAUAAUAAUUAUAACAUGACAAGUAAUUAUGAUACGAAUAAGAACAAAUUAAAUAUUGCAUAAUAUAUGACCACUUUAUAAACGAAAAAACUAAUUUAGACAAUCCCUACCUCAAUUUUUAUUAAAAAAAAAUAACACAAGGUUUGUAAUUUCCAAUUGUAUGGACAAGAAGUAUAUAAGAUAAAGUGGCUUAAGAAUCUAGGGCUUUGUCUGUCUAAUAACACCCCACGUGCGAUUUCUAACAUCAUGCACCAUGGACAAGCUUAAUAGUUUACUAUUUUAUUUGAUAAUUUAAUUAUUUUAAUUAUAUUAUAAUGUAUAUUUAGUGGAGGAAAUAAAAUAAGAAGGGUGAAACUGACCAAAGGCAGCAGUGUGGAAAGUAGUCAUGUGCUCGGCUACACUUUUUCCUCCUGUAAUCACUGUUUUACCUUUUCCGUCACCUAUAAACAUCAAGUUUAUUUUCUUCCUCCCCACCUUCAAAUUAUCCUCUUCGUACCUGUAAAAAUUAUAUUUAUCAUAAAAUUUUAAAAAUUUAAUUAAUUAUCCAAAAACCAAUUAAUAUUGAUUAAGAUUAUCCAAAAAGAAUAUUACAUGACACAAUUAGAUAUUUUUAAUCUGUAAAUAUCAAUAGCAGUAACGUAAAGGUGAUGUCAGAAAAGCCAAAAGGGGAAAAGUUUGUAAUAAAAUUUGACUUUUUUAUCAUAACGGAAAAUUUUACCUUCCUGCCUUCACGUAGAUGAUGAUCCGACGAGUACUAUGCUCCGGCGCCUUUUUAAUCGCCUCAGCAAUCGUUUUAACGGUGCCGCUUCCAUCUUUCGAGACGGUUAUAUCGGCCUGGAUCCCCGACACGGGCUUGUUCAGCAGCUCCCUCUCUUUUCUCCCCAGCCAUUUCGGGAAAUUCUCCUCGUCGACAUUCCCUCCCGAUAAAUCGUCAUCCGCCGAUAGCAGCCUCCGGUUCUGAAUAGGAACUCCGGCGAAAUCGUCUCCGCCGCUAGCAGCGAAGAUCGACAGGCAGUUACUUACCAGCUCCGACAAGUCCUUCAGUUUGUCAGUCACUUGAUCCUUCACCGUCCCGCUCACUCCAUCGAAUCCCUCCGUACACGUGUCAUGGUUCGUCAGCGCGGCGCUGAGCCACGUCAUCACGUCCUGGGGUGAUCCUCCGCCAUUGUUUCCGCCGUCCUGGGAGGGAAUAAUGGACGACAGGGAACGGGAGAGCGCGUCGACGGAAUCAUCAAGAAGCUCGAGGCAAUCGUCGUACGCCGACCGUACACGUGGUUCCAUCUGGACGAAUGAGAUCGAGUUGGCCAUAUAAAGCGCUUUACUAAAGUGCUGCAGCGUCAUAUUGAAUGAAAUGUGAACCAGGUCUUGCUCAUUAGCAGUGAGCGAGCCAGGGAACUCGAGGAGUGAGUUGACACAGAGGUUCGGGAACCGAGUCCUACUACAAGUUUUAGAAAUAGCUUGUGUCGGCUUACGUCGGACUUGGGUACCGACGGGAUCAGCACCGGCUACACGGAGACCAAUCACGAGCCCGGCACAAACAGCCGAGGCAACGAUCAUCGUCAAUGCA
rnacentral:lncRNA from 1 species